GACAGAGGGUGCAAACGUUGCUCGGAAUUACUGGGCGUAAAGCGCGUGUAGGCGGACCGAUAAGUCGGGUGUGAAAUCCCUGGGCUCAACCCAGGAACUGCAUCCGAAACUGUCGGUCUGGAGUGGUGGAGAGGGAAGCGGAAUUCCCGGUGUAGAGGUGAAAUUCGUAGAUAUCGGGAGGAACACCAGUGGCGAAGGCGGCUUCCUGGACACCGACUGACGCUGAGACGCGAAAGCGUGGGGAGCAAACAGG
rnacentral:rRNA from 1 species